UGAGAUGUUAACUAACAAAUAUUAUAAUUUUAUGAUAGGCAUGUUGCAACUCUUAAGUUCUAUGAUCAAUUUAUUUCAAUUAACAAACUAUAGAAUUUUACCUAUAAAGUGAUCAAACAACUUUCAAUUGAUUAUGUGCAAAUGUUGAAAAAUAUGGCUCAAAUUUUAAAAUUUAUUUAUGUUUUGAUAAUCUCUAUUUCUUUGUUUUCUGUAACCAGUGCUGGCAGAAGACCAUUUAGUAUGUCAUUUCUUUACCAUUCUCAAAUUUUCUUUUAUAUCAAACGCGCGCACGCGCUAGUUGAUCAACUUUUAGUAACAAUUCUUUAUUUUUAUUUGCCAUGCAGAUCCAUUCAAUUGUCAAACUAUCAUUGAUUGUAAAUACAAAGCAUGUCAUCGUCCUUUAACACGAAAGUGCAUUGAUGAGAAAUGUGUGUGCAUGUAAGAGGAACAAUUAAGUUGAAAGAUAAUUAUGUGUUACUUUAAAGGUUAUAAUUUUAUUUGUAUGUCAUAAUGUUAACACUUUAAUAAUUCCUCUCACAAUGUGUGUGCAUUGAUAAGAAAUGUGUGUGCAUGUAAGAGGAACAAUUAAGUUCAAUUUCUUUGACAAUCACAAAAGUAUCUUAUCAUAUAAUAAAAUUAUGGUUUAAAUAGGUCUUUCGUCCCUGCAAAUAUAGGUCAUUUGAAUUUUCAUUCCUGAAGUUACUAAUCCUUCCAAUCUGCCCCUGCAAAUAUUAAUCAUUUAACCUUUGGUCCUAAUUAUAUCUGAUUAGUAACUUCAGGGACGAAAAUUCAAAUGACCUAUAUUUGCAGGGAUGAAAGACCUAUUUAAGCAAAUCACCUCGUUCAAUCAUCACUUGCCACAUGGGCACCACGUCGCUAAUGACAACCGACCUCAGCAAAAAAAUCUAAUUAGGACCAAAAAUCAAAUGAUUAAUAUUUGCAGGGGCAGAUUGGAAGGAUUAGUAACUUCAAGAACGAAAAUUCAAAUGACCUAUAUUUGCAGGGACGAAAGACAUAUUUAAACCUAAAAUUAUUGUCGCAUUCAUUCACUCAUAAGAGAUUAUGAAAGCAACAUCGUCACUAUAGAAUUAUACAGUUUAUCCAUAAACAAUGUCAAUUCUUGAUUAUGUUGACUAAUUAUUUAUUUCGGUUAUGAAUUCAUCGUAAGAUUGCCGAGUGAUAUAAAAUUUAUAAUAUUGCUAAUUAUAUUUCUACGUAUAUUAAGACUGUCAUUCAUACCCCAAAAUCACACUAAAUGGAAUGUGUGUGUCGCC
rnacentral:lncRNA from 1 species